rnacentral:rRNA from 1 species
AUGGCGAGGAUGUCGGCGCAGGAGACCUUGCCGGCGCACCCGGGGAGCGCCUCGACGGCGGCCUUGGCCUUGUUGAUGGCCUCCACGGCGUCGGGCGACAGCGUGGCGUCCGCGCCGCUGUGGCUCUCGUCGUCCCCGUUCGCCGCCAUCAGCAUCACCGACGCGUCGCACCCCUGCGCACAGCAACAGAGUCACGGUCAGGGCACGGCGAGCAGCAAUGCCAGCACGGCGGAGCAAGAAGGGAAGAGACGAGCGGCUUACGCGGACGAAGCAGUCGUGGAAGAAGAGGCGGAGGGUGCCGGGCGCGACGGCGAAGCUCUGCUGCACGUGCUGCGAGAUGACGGAGCGCACGGUGGACUCGGCGCUGGGGCAGCUGCUGGCGUAGUAGUUCUGCCGCAGCUGCGCGGUCGCGGCGUCGAGGACGCACGCGAGCGCGACCACCGCCAGCAGGCCGGCGCACGAGAGGGCUCCCGCCAUUGCCGGUCGAACAGGCCCCUGCUCAGCUCAGCUCAGCUCGGCGUGGACGCGCGCGCGUGUGGGCGAAAGGCACCGUGCGUGACUGACGCCGGUACGCACGAUUUGUACCGGCUGCGCGCCUAG